rnacentral:rRNA from 1 species
UACGGGGGGAGCAAGCGUUGUUCGGAUUUACUGGGCGUAAAGGGCGCGUAGGCGGCCACCGCAAGUCGACUGUGAAAUCUCCGGGCUUAACUCGGAAAGGUCAGCCGAUACUGCGGGGCUAGAGUGCAGAAGGGGCAACUGGAAUUCUCGGUGUAGCGGUGAAAUGCGUAGAUAUCGAGAGGAACACCUGCGGCGAAGGCGGGUUGUUGGGCUGACACUGACGCUGAUUGUGCGAAAGCUAGGGGAGCGAACGGG